rnacentral:tRNA from 1 species
GCCCAGACUCAAAGUGCAAAUUUGAAGCACCCCAAAGGGUGCCGGGGCUUCUCCCGUUUUAAUCGAGACGGGAGAAGA